CAGAGAGUAGUUUAAACAAAAAUAUUAAUUUUGGGAAUUAAAGAUAGAGUAUUUUCUUUCUCUCUGA
rnacentral:tRNA from 2 species